rnacentral:rRNA from 1 species
UACGUAGGCAGCAAGCGUUGUUCGGAGUUACUGGGCGUAAAGGGUGUGUAGGCGGUCGGAUAAGUGUGGUGUGAAAUCUCCCGGCUCAACUGGGAGGGUGCGCUACAAACUGUCUGGCUAGAGUGCGGGAUGGGAAAGUGGAAUUCCUGGUGUAGCGGUGAAAUGCGUAGAUAUCAGGAGGAACGCCGGUGGUGUAGACGGCUUUCUGGACCGUAACUGACGCUGAAACACGAAAGCGUGGGUAGCAAACAGG